rnacentral:rRNA from 1 species
UGGGGAAUUUUGGGCAAUGGGCGAAAGCCUGACCCAGCAACGCCGCGUGAAGGAUGAAGUAUUUCGGUAUGUAAACUUCGAAAGAAUAGGAAGAAUAAAUGACGGUACUAUUUAUAAGGUCCGGCUAACUACGUGCCAGCAGCCGCGGUAAUACGUAGGGACCAAGCGUUGUUCGGAUUUACUGGGCGUAAAGGGCGCGUAGGCGGCAAUUCAAGUCAUCUGUGAAAUCUCCGGGCUUAACUCGGAACGGUCAGAUGAUACUGCUUUGCUAGAGUGCAGAAGGGGCAAUCGGAAUUCUUGGUGUAGCGGUGAAAUGCGUAGAUAUCAAGAGGAACACCUGAGGUGAAGACGGGUUGCUGGGCUGACACUGACGCUGAGGCGCGAAAGCCAGGGGAGCAAACAGGAUUAGAUACCCUAGUAGUCCCUGAGCGGGCUGGCAAGGCGCAU